GUGGCUGCGCCACUCACCCACGAAGCAUCGCUGAGAGGAUUAGUUAAUUUCCUACAACAUUUUUGGUGUUUGUCUUGGUGCGACAUGUUUGUACUGAAUAUUUUUCUUUCUUAUGCUGUUUAGGAAAGAAGAGCAAGGAAUAGCAAGAGGCUAAGGAGGCUGCAAGACCUCGUGCCCAAUAUGGACAAGAGUAUCAAAGCUUCUUCUAGAUCAAAGAAAGCUAAUCCAGAAUCAACCAUAGUCAGUGCAAGAAGGUUAUACAGGGCAGAUGAUAUUUCAUCAGAGAGGUAUACUACAGUGAAAAUAUAAUAAGUGUGCCAGUUUGUGAUGGUUGAGGGGAAAUGUGAGGUUAUAGCAAAGAAUGACAUUCCAAAUUCAAAUCUUCCGGUAGUGGUUGAGCAUGCCUUUUACUGUGAACAUUUAUAUGAUCCUGAUGCUGGAGCUCUUAAGCAGCUACCGACAAAUGUUAAGCUCAUGACCUUGACAAGGAAGGCGCAUGCUGCAAAAAAGAAUGAAGGCAAGUAGAUUUGUGACGAUGAGCAAGCUGGUUCAGACAAACAGAACGCAACACCAGAGAACUGUCUUGCAACCCUUGAUAUUU